GCCGACAUGGUGGAACUGGUAGACACGCCAUCUUGAGGGGGUGGUGACCCUAGGUCGUGUGGGUUCGAGUCCCACUGUCGGCACCA
rnacentral:tRNA from 1 species